GUUACCCUAUUUGAAGAAAUGAAUUUUUUUUCCAGAAAACAUAAUAUUGUGCAAACAUGAAAUUCUUUCACUGUGGCAACAUUUGUUUUCUUGAUAAAGUUAUUUUUCCAUUUGAGAAAAAUUGCUAGGAAAAUAGGUUUGUGCUUAAAAAUUUUAAAUAUUUUGGCAAAAAUCAUAAAACCAUCAUAACCAUAAGUAAAGCCAAUAGAGAAGCCAACAGACCAGAGGAGAAAUUUGCCGCUCAUUUCAGUGACAAAAGGGGAAUAAAUGUUCUUAAUAUAUAAAGAACUAUUGAUCAAUGAAAAAGACCAGCCUUCCAGGUGAAAAAUUCUCAGGUGGUUUAUGGCAAAGGAAAUAUAAAUGGUGCCUCCAUCCAUGACAAAAUGUGCUAAACCACACAGAGAAAAUAAGGUGAAAAUUAUGAUGUACCAUUUCCCACCUACAUUUCAGCAAAGAUAAAAAGUUGGAUAAUUCUCUAAUUUUAUAAGGUUAUAGAGAAAUAGGCCCAUGUAUGUGUAAUUGGUGGGUGCGCAAAUUGAUACAGCCUCCAUUUUUUGUCGAAAGUGAAUUUAUACUCUAGGAUGUGUUCACAUGCAGGAGACGUACAAGCAUGUUCGUGGCAGUAUCGUUUGCAAGAGCAGAGGACUACAGACAACUGGCCUAUGCCUAUCAAAAUGGGGUCAUUAAAUAAAUAAAGCCCUGUCAUUGAACUAUAGGGAUCCGAACUUUCUUUGUAUAUGCUGAGUGUAUUAAGUGACAUUCUGUGUAUAUGCUAAUAAUGACAAAAGCAUUGUAUUUUCAUUUGCAUAAAAAAACAUUUGUUUGCUACGUGUAUAGGUUAUCUUUAGAAGGAGACACAAGAAAUUGGUAACCAUGGUUGCCUUUGAAUUGGGGAGCUGGAUGGCUGACCCCUUGACAGGGUGAGAAGGAUACAUACCUUAUACUAGAUGUCCCUUUAGUACUUUUUGAAUUUUGAACCUAUUUUGUAUUACCUACAUCCCCACUCCCCCAAAGUAAUGUUUCAAAAUUAUGCAGUGGACAGGUCUGCAAGGUAUGGGACUAUUGAAAUAAUGGAAUUUUAAUAACCUGUCAAGGAUCUUACAUUGCCUAUCCCAUCCAGGGAAGUAGUCACAUGAGCAGUUGGCUCAUUGAAUAAAGAACUCUGGUCUUAUACCCAUAACUACACAAAGUGCAAUUACUGAAACUCCAGCUGGCACUCUGAACUUGAAGGCAGUUGGUGGAGAUCACUGAAUAGGCUAUACUAAGAGCUUGAUCUAACGUGAAAUAAGAAACUGGAAAGAAGCAAAGGAAGGAUGGUAUGUAAACUGUGCAGAGAGAUUACUAUUUGGAAAAGCCAGAGAGAUGCCUGUGUUGCAAAAGGGAGAGACAGAACAUGAACAGGGGAGGGUCAGAGAGA